rnacentral:rRNA from 1 species
UGGGGAAUAUUGGACAAUGGGCGAAAGCCUGAUCCAGCCAUGCCGCGUGUGUGAAGAAGGUCUUCGGAUUGUAAAGCACUUUAAGUUGGGAGGAAGGGUUGUAGAUUAAUACUCUGCAAUUUUGACGUUACCGACAGAAUAAGCACCGGCUAACUCUGUGCCAGCAGCCGCGGUAAUACAGAGGGUGCAAGCGUUAAUCGGACUUACUGGGCGUAAAGGGUGCGUAGGUGGUUAGUUAAGUUGGAUGUGAAAUCCCCGGGCUCAACCUGGGAACUGCAUUCAAAACUGACUGACUAGAGUAUGGUAGAGGGUGGUGGAAUUUCCUGUGUAGCGGUGAAAUGCGUAGAUAUAGGAAGGAACACCAGUGGCGAAGGCGACCACCUGGACUGAUACUGACACUGAGGUGCGAAAGCGUGGGGAGCAAACAGGAUUAGAUACCCACGUAGUCCCUGAGCGG